UAGGCGUGCAACUCGCCUACACGAAGUUGGAAUUGCUAGUAAUCGUGGAUCAGCAUGCACGGUGAAUACGUUCCCGGGUCUUGUACACACCGCCCGUCACACCAUGGGAGCUGGUAACACCCGAAGUCAGUAGUCUAACCGCAAGGAGGACGCUGCCGAAGGUGGGAUUAGCGACUGGGGCGAAGUCGUAACAAGGUAUC
rnacentral:rRNA from 1 species